rnacentral:rRNA from 1 species
CACGUAGGGGGCGAGCGUUGUCCGGAUUCAUUGGGCGUAAAGAGCUCGUAGGCGGCCAGGUAGGUCGGCUGUGAAAACUCGAGGCUCAACCUCGAGAUGUCGGCCGAAACCAUCUGGCUAGAGUCCGGAAGAGGAGAGUGGAAUUCCCGGUGUAGCGGUGAAAUGCGCAGAUAUCGGGAAGAACACCCGUGGCGAAGGCGGCUCUCUGGGACGGUACUGACGCUGAGACGCGAAAGCGUGGGGAGCGAACAGG